UACGGGGGGGGCAAGCGUUGUUCGGAAUUACUGGGCGUAAAGGGCUCGUAGGUGGCCAACUAAGUCAGACGUGAAAUCCCUCGGCUUAACCGGGGAACUGCGUCUGAUACUGGAUGGCUUGAGUUUGGGAGAGGGACGCGGAAUUCCAGGUGUAGCGGUGAAAUGCGUAGAUAUCUGGAGGAACACCGGUGGCGAAGGCGGCAUCCUGGACCGACACUGACACUGAGGAGCGAAAGCCAGGGGAGCAAACAGG
rnacentral:rRNA from 1 species